rnacentral:tRNA from 1 species
GGUAAAAUGGCUGAUGAUAGGUGAUAGAUUGUAAAUUUAUUUAUAAAGAUAAUUCUUUUUUUGCCA